rnacentral:rRNA from 1 species
UACGUAGGGGGCGAGCGUUGUUCGGAAUUACUGGGCGUAAAGGGCGCGUAGGCGGCCGAUCAAGUCAGAUGUGAAAGUCCUGGGCUUAACCUGGGGACUGCAUUUGAUACUGAUUGGCUUGAAUGCAGGAGAGGAUAGCGGAAUUCCCAGUGUAGAGGUGAAAUUCGUAGAUAUUGGGAAGAACACCGGUGGCGAAGGCGGCGACCUGGUCCGAUACUGACGCUGAGGCGCGAAAGCGUGGGGAGCAAACAGG